rnacentral:rRNA from 1 species
GACGAACGCCGGCGGCGUGCUUAACACAUGCAAGUCGAACGGAAAGGCCCUGCUUUUGUGGGGUGCUCGAGUGGCGAACGGGUGAGUAACACGUGAGUAACCUGCCCUUGACUUUGGGAUAACUUCAGGAAACUGGGGCUAAUACCGGAUAGGAGCUCCUGCUGCAUGGUGGGGGUUGGAAAGUUUCGGCGGUUGGGGAUGGACUCGCGGCUUAUCAGCUUGUUGGUGGGGUAGUGGCUUACCAAGGCUUUGACGGGUAGCCGGCCUGAGAGGGUGACCGGCCACAUUGGGACUGAGCUACGGCCCAUACUCCUACGGGAGGCAGCAGUGGGGAAUAUUGCACAAUGGGCGGACGCCUGAUGCAGCAACGCCGCAUGCGGGAUGACGGCCUUCGGGUUGUAAACCGCUUUCGCCUGUGACGAAGCGUGAGUGACGGUAAUGGGUAAAGAAGCACCGGCUAACUACGUG